rnacentral:rRNA from 1 species
GCUUGUCUCAAAGAUUAAGCCAUGCAUGUCUAAGUAUAAACGACUUUAUACUGUGAAACUGCGAAUGGCUCAUUAUAUCAGUUAUAGUUUAUUUGAUGGUCCUUGCUACUUGGAUAACCGUAGUAAUUCUAGAGCUAAUACAUGCAUUAAACCCCGACUUCUGGAAGGGGUGUAUUUAUUAGAUGGAAACCAAUGCGGGGUAACCCGGAAUAUGGUGAUUCAUAAUAACUUUCGGAUCGAUUUAUCGAUGCAUCAUUCAAGUUUCUGCCCUAUCAGCUUUCGAUGGUAGUGUAUUGGACUACCAUGGCAGUAACGGGUAACGAAGAAUUAGGGUUCGAUUUCGGAGAGGGAGCAUGAGAAACGGCUACCACAUCUAAGGAAGGCAGCAGG